rnacentral:rRNA from 1 species
GUGUCAGCAGCCGCGGUAAUACGGAGGGUGCAAGCGUUAUCCGGAUUCACUGGGUUUAAAGGGUGCGUAGGUGGGGUGGUAAGUCAGUGGUGAAAUCUCCAGGCUUAACUUGGAAACUGCCAUUGAUACUAUCAUUCUUGAAUACCGUGGAGAUGAGCGGAAUAUGUCAUGUAGCGGUGAAAUGCUUAGAUAUGACAUAGAACACCAAUUGCGAAGGCAGCUCGUUACACGAAUAUUGACACUCAGGCACGAAAGCGUGGGGAUCAAACAGGAUUAGAUACCCCCGUAGUCC